rnacentral:lncRNA from 1 species
UGGGCAAAGUGUGUCAUCAUAGCCACUAUGUUUUCUGCACUUGGAGUAGACAGCACCUUGAUAGCUCAGUUGGUAGAGCAGAGGACUGUAGGCAGUUCCUCCUAUGAAGUGCUCUCGUUCCAACGUCGCUGGUUCAACUCCCGCUCAAAGCAAGCCUUGUCUUCAUCUGUCAGCUCCUCCAAAAUUUAAAAACACAAACAAGAUAACUCCUACUUUAUUUUCCAACCGUCAAUUUUUUGUUCACCCAGCCUAAAAGUCCUGAUUAUCAGUUCUGGGUCCCUGGCAAUGACUGUUGGGUACAAACUGAGAAGCUGUGCUCUGAAGGUAGGGCUGGGCUUUUCACUGACCAUGUAGGUGGAUUAGUUGUGUGGGCAAAGUGUGUCAUCAUAGCCACUAUGUUUUCUGCACUUGGAGUAGACAGCACCUUGAUAGCUCAGUUGGUAGAGCAGAGGACUGUAGGCAGUUCCUCCUAUGAAGUGCUCUCGUUCCAGGGUCGCUGGUUCAACUCCCGCUCAAAGCAAGCCUUGUGUUCAUCUGUCAGCUCCUCCAAAAUUUAAAAACACAAACAAGAUAACUCCUACUUUAUUUUCCAACCAUCAAUUUUUUAUUCACCCAGCCUAAAAGUCCUGAUUAUCAGUUCUGGGUCCCUGGCAAUGACUGUUGGGUACAAACUGAGAAGCUGCGCUCUGAAGGUAGGGCUGGGCUUUUCACUGACCAUGUAGGUGGAUUAGUUGUGUGGGCAAAGUGUGUCAUCAUAGCCACUAUGUUUUCUGCACUUGGAGUAGACAGCACCUUGAUAGCUCAGUUGGUAGAGCAGAGGACUGUAGGCAGUUCCUCCUAUGAAGUGCUGUGGUUCCAAGGUCGCUGGUUCAACUCCCACUCAAAGCAAGCCUUGUCUUCAUCUGUCAGCUCCUCCAAAAUUUAAAAACACAAACAAGAUAACUCCUACUUUAUUUUCCAACCGUCAAUUUUUUAUUCACCCAGCCUAAAAGUCCUGAUUAUCAGUUCUGGGUCCCUGGCAAUGACUGUUGGGUACAAACUGAGAAGCUGUGCUCUGAAGGUAGGGCUGGGCUUUUCACUGACCAUGUAGGUGGAUUAGUUGUGUGGGCAAAGUGUGUCAUCAUAGCCACUAUGUUUUCUGCACUUGGAGUAGACAGCACCUUGAUAGCUCAGUUGGUAGAGCAGAGGACUGUAGGCAGUUCCUCCUAUGAAGUGCUGUCGUUCCAAGGUCGCUGGUUCAACUCCCGCUCAAAGCAAGCCUUGACUUCAUCUGUCAGCUCCUCCAAAAUUUAAAAACACAAACAAGAUAACUCCUACUUUAUUUUCCAACCAUCAAUUUUUUAUUCACCCAGCCUAAAAGUCCUGAUUAUCAGUUCUGGGUCCCUGGCAAUGACUGUUGGGUACAAACUGAGAAGCUGCGCUCUGAAGGUAGGGCUGGGCUUUUCACUGACCAUGUAGGUGGAUUAGUUGUGUGGGCAAAGUGUGUCAUCAUAGCCACUAUGUUUUCUGCACUUGGAGUAGACAGCAUCUUGAUAGCUCAGUUGGUAGAGCAGAGGACUGUAGGCAGUUCCUCCUAUGAAGUGCUGACGUUCCAGGGUCGCUGGUUCAACUCCCACUCAAAGCAAGCCUUGUCUUCAUCUGUCAGCUCCUCCAAAAUUUAAAAACACAAACAAGAUAACUCCUACUUUAUUUUCCAACCGUCAAUUUUUUAUUCACCCAGCCUAAAAGUCCUGAUUAUCAGUUCUGGGUCCCUGGCAAUGACUGUUGGGUACAAACUGAGAAGCUGUGCUCUGAAGGUAGGGCUGGGCUUUUCACUGACCAUGUAGGUGGAUUAGUUGUGUGGGCAAAGUGUGUCAUCAUAGCCACUAUGUUUUCUGCACUUGGAGUAGACAGCACCUUGAUAGCUCAGUUGGUAGAGUAGAGGACUGUAGGCAGUUCCUCCUAUGAAGUGCUGUCGUUCCAAGGUCGCUGGUUCAACUCCCGCUCAAAGCAAGCCUUGACUUCAUCUGUCAGCUCCUCCAAAAUUUAAAAACACAAACAAGAUAACUCCUACUUUAUUUUCCAACCAUCAAUUUUUUAUUCACCCAGCCUAAAAGUCCUUAUUAUCAGUUCUGGGUCCCUGGCAAUGACUGUUGGGUACAAACUGAGAAGCUGCGCUCUGAAGGUAGGGCUGGGCUUUUCACUGACCAUGUAGGUGGAUUAGUUGUGUGGGCAAAGUGUGUCAUCAUAGCCACUAUGUUUUCUGCACUUGGAGUAGACAGCACCUUGAUAGCUCAGUUGGUACAGCAGAGGACUGUAGGCAGUUCCUCCAAUGAAGUGCUGACGUUCCAGGGUCGCUGGUUCAACUCCCGCUCAAAGCAAGCCUUGUCUUCAUCUGUCAGCUCCUCCAAAAUUUAAAAACACAAACAAGAUAACUCCUACUUUAUUUUCCAACCAUCAAUUUUUUAUUCACCCAGCCUAAAAGUCCUGAUUAUCAGUUCUGGGUCCCUGGCAAUGACUGUUGGGUACAAACUGAGAAGCUGUGCUCUGAAGGUAGGGCUGGGCUUUUCACUGACCAUGUUGGUGGAUUAGUUGUGUGGGCAAAGUGUGUCAUCAUAGCCACUAUGUUUUCUGCACUUGGAGUAGACAGCACCUUGAUAGCUCAGUUGGUAGAGCAGAGGACUGUAGGCAGUUCCUCCUAUGAAGUGCUGUGGUUCCAAGGUCGCUGGUUCAACUCCCGCUCAAAGCAAGCCUUGUCUUCAUCUGUCAGCUCCUCCAAAAUUUAAAAACACAAACAAGAUAACUCCUACUUUAUUUUCCAACCGUCAAUUUUUUAUUCACCCAGCCUAAAAGUCCUGAUUAUCAGUUCUGGGUCCCUGGCAAUGACUGUUGGGUACAAACUGAGAAGCUGUGCUCUGAAGGUAGGGCUGGGCUUUUCACUGACCAUGUAGGUGGAUUAGUUGUGUGGGCAAAGUGUGUCAUCAUAGCCACUAUGUUUUCUGCACUUGGAGUAGACAGCACCUUGAUAGCUCAGUUGGUAGAGCAGAGGACUGUAGGCAGUUCCUCCUAUGAAGUGCUGUCGUUCCAAGGUCGCUGGUUCAACUCCCGCUCAAAGCAAGCCUUGUCUUCAUCUGUCAGCUCCUCCAAAAUUUAAAAACACAAACAAGAUAACUCCUACUUUAUUUUCCAACCGUCAAUUUUUUAUUCACCCAGCCUAAAAGUCCUGAUUAUCAGUUCUGGGUCCCUGGCAAUGACUGUUGGGUACAAACUGAGAAGCUGUGCUCUGAAGGUAGGGCUGGGCUUUUCACUGACCAUGUAGGUGGAUUAGUUGUGUGGGCAAAGUGUGUCAUCAUAGCCACUAUGUUUUCUGCACUUGGAGUAGACAGCACCUUGAUAGCUCAGUUGGUAGAGCAGAGGACUGUAGGCAGUUCCUCCUAUGAAGUGCUGUCGUUCCAGGGUCGCUGGUUCAACUCCCGCUCAAAGCAAGCCUUGUGUUCAUCUGUCAGCUCCUCCAAAAUUUAAAAACACAAACAAGAUAACUCCUACUUUAUUUUCCAACCAUCAAUUUUUUAUUCACCCAGCCUAAAAGUCCUGAUUAUCAGUUCUGGGUCCCUGGCAAUGACUGUUGGGUACAAACUGAGAAGCUGCGCUCUGAAGGUAGGGCUGGGCUUUUCACUGACCAUGUAGGUGGAUUAGUUGUGUGGGCAAAGUGUGUCAUCAUAGCCACUAUGUUUUCUGCACGUGGAGUAGACAGCAUCUUGAUAGCUCAGUUGGUAGAGCAGAGGACUGUAGGCAGUUCCUCCUAUGAAGUGCUUGGUUCCAAGGUCGCUGGUUCAACUCCCACUCAAAGCAAGCCUUGUCUUCAUCUGUCAGCUCCUCCAAAAUUUAAAAACACAAACAAGAUAACUCCUACUUUAUUUUCCAACCGUCAAUUUUUUAUUCACCCAGCCUAAAAGUCCUGAUUAUCAGUUCUGGGUCCCUGGCAAUGACUGUUGGGUACAAACUGAGAAGCUGCGCUCUGAAGGUAGGGCUGGGCUUUUCACUGACCAUGUAGGUGGAUUAGUUGUGUGGGCAAAGUGUGUCAUCAUAGCCACUAUGUUUUCUGCACUUGGAGUAGACAGCACCUUGAUAGCUCAGUUGGUAGAGCAGAGGACUGUAGGCAGUUCCUCCAAUGAAGUGCUGUCGUUCCAGGGUCGCUGGUUCAACUCCCGCUCAAAGCAAGCCUUGUCUUCAUCUGUCAGCUCCUCCAAAAUUUAAAAACACAAACAAGAUAACUCCUACUUUAUUUUCCAACCAUCAAUUUUUUAUUCACCCAGCCUAAAAGUCCUGAUUAUCAGUUCUGGGUCCCUGGCAAUGACUGUUAGGUACAAACUGAGAAGCUGUGCUCUGAAGGUAGGGCUGGGCUUUUCACUGACCAUGUUGGUGGAUUAGUUGUGUGGGCAAAGUGUGUCAUCAUAGCCACUAUGUUUUCUGCACUUGGAGUAGACAGCACCUUGAUAGCUCAGUUGUUAGAGCAGAGGACUGUAGGCAGUUCCUCCUAUGAAGUGCUGUGGUUCCAAGGUCGCUGGUUCAACUCCCGCUCAAAGCAAGCCUUGUCUUCAUCUGUCAGCUCCUCCAAAAUUUAAAAACACAAACAAGAUAACUCCUACUUUAUUUUCCAACCGUCAAUUUUUUGUUCACCCAGCCUAAAAGUCCUGAUUAUCAGUUCUGGGUCCCUGGCAAUGACUGUUGGGUACAAACUGAGAAGCUGUGCUCUGAAGGUAGGGCUGGGCUUUUCACUGACCAUGUAGGUGGAUUAGUUGUGUGGGCAAAGUGUGUCAUCAUAGCCACUAUGUUUUCUGCACUUGGAGUAGACAGCACCUUUAUAGCUCAGUUGGUAGAGCAGAGGACUGUAGGCAGUUCCUCCUAUGAAGUGCUGUCGUUCCAAGGUUGCUGGUUCAACUCCCGCUCAAAGCAAGCCUUGUCUUCAUCUGUCAGCUCCUCAAAAAUUUAAAAACACAAACAAGAUAACUCCUACUUUAUUUUCCAACCGUCAAUUUUUUAUUCACCCAGCCUAAAAGUCCUGAUUAUCAGUUCUGGGUCCCUGGCAAUGACUGUUGGGUACAAACUGAGAAGCUGUGCUCUGAAGGUAGGGCUGGGCUUUUCACUGACCAUGUAGGUGGAUUAGUUGUGUGGGCAAAGUGUGUCAUCAUAGCCACUAUGUUUUCUGCACUUGGAGUAGACAGCACCUUGAUAGCUCAGUUGGUAGAGCAGAGGACUGUAGGCAGUUCCUCCUAUGAAGUGCUGUGGUUCCAGGGUCGCUGGUUCAACUCCCGCUCAAAGCAAGCCUUGUGUUCAUCUGUCAGCUCCUCCAAAAUUUAAAAACACAAACAAGAUAACUCCUACUUUAUUUUCCAACCAUCAAUUUUUUAUUCACCCAGCCUAAAAGUCCUGAUUAUCAGUUCUGGGUCCCUGGCAAUGACUGUUGGGUACAAACUGAGAAGCUGCGCUCUGAAGGUAGGGCUGGGCUUUUCACUGACCAUGUAGGUGGAUUAGUUGUGUGGGCAAAGUGUGUCAUCAUAGCCACUAUGUUUUCUGCACUUGGAGUAGACAGCACCUUGAUAGCUCAGUUGGUAGAGCAGAGGACUGUAGGCAGUUCCUCCUAUGAAGUGCUGUGGUUCCAAGGUCGCUGGUUCAACUCCCGCUCAAAGCAAGCCUUGUCUUCAUCUGUCAGCUCCUCCAAAAUUUAAAAACACAAACAAGAUAACUCCUACUUUAUUUUCCAACCAUCAAUUUUUUAUUCACCCAGCCUAAAAGUCCUGAUUAUCAGUUCUGGGUCCCUGGCAAUGACUGUUGGGUACAAACUGAGAAGCUGUGCUCUGAAGGUAGGGCUGGGCUUUUCACUGACCAUGUAGGUGGAUUAGUUGUGUGGGCAAAGUGUGUCAUCAUAGCCACUAUGUUUUCUGCACUUGGAGUAGACAGCACCUUGAUAGCUCAGUUGGUAGAACAGAGGACUGUAGGCAGUUCCUCCUAUGAAGUGCUGUGGUUCCAAGGUUGCUGGUUCAACUCCCGCUCAAAGCAAGCCUUGUCUUCAUCUGUCAGCUCCUCCAAAAUUUGAAAACACAAACAAGAUAACUCCUACUUUAUUUUCCAACCGUCAAUUUUUUAUUCACCCAGCCUAAAAGUCCUGAUUAUCAGUUCUGGGUCCCUGGCAAUGACUGUUGGGUACAAACUGAGAAGCUGUGCUCUGAAGGUAGGGCUGGGCUUUUCACUGACCAUGUAGGUGGAUUAGUUGUGUGGGCAAAGUGUGUCAUCAUAGCCACUAUGUUUUCUGCACUUGGAGUAGACAGCACCUUGAUAGCUCAGUUGGUAGAGCAGAGGACUGUAGGCAGUUCCUCCUAUGAAGUGCUGUGGUUCCAAGGUCGCUGGUUCAACUCCCGCUCAAAGCAAGCCUUGUCUUCAUCUGUCAGCUCCUCCAAAAUUUAAAAACACAAACAAGAUAACUCCUACUUUAUUUUCCAACCAUCAAUUUUUUAUUCACCCAGCCUAAAAGUCCUGAUUAUCAGUUCUGGGUCCCUGGCAAUGACUGUUGGGUACAAACUGAGAAGCUGCGCUCUGAAGGUAGGGCUGGGCUUUUCACUGACCAUGUAGGUGGAUUAGUUGUGUGGGCAAAGUGUGUCAUCAUAGCCACUAUGUUUUCUGCACUUGGAGUAGACAGCACCUUGAUAGCUCAGUUGGUAGAGCAGAGGACUGUAGGCAGUUCCUCCUAUGAAGUGCUGUCGUUCCAGGGUCGCUGGUUCAACUCCCGCUCAAAGCAAGCCUUGUGUUCAUCUGUCAGCUCCUCCAAAAUUUAAAAACACAAACAAGAUAACUCCUACUUUAUUUUCCAACCAUCAAUUUUUUAUUCACCCAGCCUAAAAGUCCUGAUUAUCAGUUCUGGGUCCCUGGCAAUGACUGUUGGGUACAAACUGAGAAGCUGCGCUCUGAAGGUAGGGCUGGGCUUUUCACUGACCAUGUAGGUGGAUUAGUUGUGUGGGCAAAGUGUGUCAUCAUAGCCACUAUGUUUUCUGCACUUGGAGUAGACAGCACCUUGAUAGCUCAGUUGGUAGAGCAGAGGACUGUAGGCAGUUCCUCCUAUGAAGUGCUGUGGUUCCAGGGUUGCUGGUUCAACUCCCGCUCAAAGCAAGCCUUGUGUUCAUCUGUCAGCUCCUCCAAAAUUUAAAAACACAAACAAGAUAACUCCUACUUUAUUUUCCAACCAUCAAUUUUUUAUUCACCCAGCCUAAAAGUCCUGAUUAUCAGUUCUGGGUCCCUGGCAAUGACUGUUGGGUACAAACUGAGAAGCUGUGCUCUGAAGGUAGGGCUGGGCUUUUCACUGACCAUGUAGGUGGAUUAGUUGUGUGGGCAAAGUGUGUCAUCAUAGCCACUAUGUUUUCUGCACUUGGAGUAGACAGCACCUUGAUAGCUCAGUUGGUAGAGCAGAGGACUGUAGGCAGUUCCUCCUAUGAAGUGCUGUGGUUCCAAGGUCGUUGGUUCAACUCCCGCUCAAAACAAGCCUUGUCUUCAUCUGUCAGCUCCUCCAAAAUUUAAAAACACAAACAAGAUAACUCCUACUUUAUUUUCCAACCGUCAAUUUUUUAUUCACCCAGUCUAAAAGUCCUGAUUAUCAGUUCUGGGUCCCUGGCAAUGACUGUUGGGUACAAACUGAGAAGCUGCGCUCUGAAGGUAGGGCUGGGCUUUUCACUGACCAUGUAGGUGGAUUAGUUGUGUGGGCAAAGUGUGUCAUCAUAGCCACUAUGUUUUCUGCACUUGGAGUAGACAGCACCUUGAUAGCUCAGUUGGUAGAGCAGAGGACUGUAGGCAGUUCUUCCUAUGAAGUGCUGUCGUUCCAGGGUCGCUGGUUCAACUCCCGCUCAAAGCAAGCCUUGUGUUCAUCUGUCAGCUCCUCCAAAAUUUAAAAACACAAACAAGAUAACUCCUACUUUAUUUUCCAACCAUCAAUUUUUUAUUCACCCAGCCUAAAAGUCCUGAUUAUCAGUUCUGGGUCCCUGGCAAUGACUGUUGGGUACAAACUGAGAAGCUGUGCUCUGAAGGUAGGGCUGGGCUUUUCACUGACCAUGUAGGUGGAUUAGUUGUGUGGGCAAAGUGUGUCAUCAUAGCCACUAUGUUUUCUGCACUUGGAGUAGACAGCACCUUGAUAGCUCAGUUGGUAGAGCAGAGGACUGUAGGCAGUUCCUCCUAUGAAGUGCUGUGGUUCCAAGGUCGCUGGUUCAACUCCCGCUCAAAGCAAGCCUUCUGUUCAUCUGUCAGCUCCUCCAAAAUUUAAAAACACAAACAAGAUAACUCCUACUUUAUUUUCCAACCAUCAAUUUUUUAUUCACCCAGCCUAAAAGUCCUGAUUAUCAGUUCUGGGUCCCUGGCAAUGACUGUUGGGUACAAACUGAGAAGCUGCGCUCUGAAGGUAGGGCUGGGCUUUUCACUGACCAUGUAGGUGGAUUAGUUGUGUGGGCAAAGUGUGUCAUCAUAGCCACUAUGUUUUCUGCACUUGGAGUAGACAGCACCUUGAUAGCUCAGUUGGUAGAGCAGAGGACUGUAGGCAGUUCUUCCUAUGAAGUGCUGUCGUUCCAGGGUCGCUGGUUCAACUCCCGCUCAAAGCAAGCCUUGUGUUCAUCUGUCAGCUCCUCCAAAAUUUAAAAACACAAACAAGAUAACUCCUACUUUAUUUUCCAUACAUCAAUUUUUUAUUCACCCAGCCUAAAAGUCCUGAUUAUCAGUUCUGGGUCCCUGGCAAUGACUGUUGGGUACAAACUGAGAAGCUGUGCUCUGAAGGUAGGGCUGGGCUUUUCACUGACCAUGUAGGUGGAUUAGUUGUGUGGGCAAAGUGUGUCAUCAUAGCCACUAUGUUUUCUGCACUUGGAGUAGACAGCACCUUGAUAGCUCAGUUGGUAGAGCAGAGGACUGUAGGCAGUUCCUCCUAUGAAGUAAUGUGGUUCCAAGGUCGCUGGUUCAACUCCCGCUCAAAGCAAGCCUUGUGUUCAUCUGUCAGCUCCUCCAAAAUUUAAAAACACAAACAAGAUAACUCCUACUUUAUUUUCAAACCGUCAAUUUUUAAUUCACCCAGCCUAAAAGUCCUGAUUAUCAGUUCUGGGUCCCUGGCAAUGACUGUUGGGUACAAACUGAGAAGCUGUGCUCUGAAGGUAGGGCUGGGCUUUUCACUGACCAUGUAGGUGGAUUAGUUGUGUGGGCAAAGUGUGUCAUCAUAGCCACUAUGUUUUCUGCACUUGGAGUAGACAGCACCUUGAUAGCUCAGUUGGUAGAGCAGAGGACUGUAGGCAGUUCUUCCUAUGAAGUGCUGUCGUUCCAGGGUCGCUGGUUCAACUCCCGCUCAAAGCAAGCCUUGUGUUCAUCUGUCAGCUCCUCCAAAAUUUAAAAACACAAACAAGAUAACUCCUACUUUAUUUUCCAACCAUCAAUUUUUUAUUCACCCAGCCUAAAAGUCCUGAUUAUCAGUUCUGGGUCCCUGGCAAUGACUGUUGGGUACAAACUGAGAAGCUGCGCUCUGAAGGUAGGGCUGGGCUUUUCACUGACCAUGUAGGUGGAUUAGUUGUGUGGGCAAAGUGUGUCAUCAUAGCCACUAUGUUUUCUGCACUUGGAGUAGACAGCACCUUGAUAGCUCAGUUGGUAGAGCAGAGGACUGUAGGCAGUUCUUCCUAUGAAGUGCUGUCGUUCCAGGGUCGCUGGUUCAACUCCCGCUCAAAGCAA